rnacentral:rRNA from 1 species
UAGGGAAUAUUGGACAAUGGGUGAGAGCCUGAUCCAGCCAUGCCGCGUGCAGGAAGAAGGCGUUAUGCGUUGUAAACUGCUUUUUGCCAGGGGAUAAAAAGACCGUGCGCGGUUAAUUGAAGGUACCUGGUGAAUAAGCCACGGCUAACUACGUGCCAGCAGCCGCGGUAAUACGUAGGUGGCAAGCGUUGUCCGGAUUUAUUGGGUUUAAAGGGUGCGUAGGUGGCCCUGUAAGUCAGUGGUGAAAUAUCUCAGCUUAACUGAGAGGGUGCCAUUGAUACUGCAGGGCUUGAGUACAGAUGAGGUAGGCGGAAUUGACGGUGUAGCGGUGAAAUGCAUAGAUAUCGUCAAGAACACCGAUAGCGAAGGCAGCUUACCAAGCUGUAACUGACACUGAGGCACGAAAGUGUGGGGAUCGAAACAGGAUUAGAUACCCUUGUAGUCCCUGAGCGGGCUGGCAAGGCGCAU